rnacentral:rRNA from 1 species
UCUGACACAGGUGCUGCAUGGCUGUCGUCAGCUCGUGUCGUGAGAUGUUGGGUUAAGUCCCGUAACGAGCGCAACCCUUGUCCUUAGUUACCAGCACGUUAUGGUGGGCACUCUAAGGAGACUGCCGGUGACAAACCGGAGGAAGGUGGGGAUGACGUCAAGUCAGUCAUGGCCCUUACGGCCUGGGCUACACACGUGCUACAAUGGUCGGUACAAAGGGUUGCCAAGCCGCGAGGUGGAGCUAAUCCCAUAAAACCGAUCGUAGUCCGGAUCGCAGUCUGCAACUCGACUGCGUGAAGUCGGAAUCGCUAGUAAUCGUGAAUCAGAAUGUCACGGUGAAUACGUUCCCGGGCCUU